rnacentral:lncRNA from 1 species
GAUCGAACCCGGGCCGCACGCAUGCCAGGCAGUGGCUCCCGGACGAGGCCAGAGAAUCGACUUUAAAUUCUGAGUGUGGAUUCCCACGGAGACCCAGGAGUCACAUUUGAUGGAAGGAACUGUGUGCAGAGCUCCUCUCGCCUCUGUAGCAAUUGGCAUGGCCAUCCUGUCCCCCUCGCCUCCUCCAGGUGAGGGUGCUGUGGGUGG